CAGGGAGGUACGGUUCAGCAGGGAGGUACGGUUCAGCUGGGAGGCACGGUUCAGCUGGGAGGUACGGUUCAGCAGGGAGGUACGGUUCAGCAGGGAGGUACGGUUCAGCAGGGAGAUACGGUUCAGCAGGGAGGUACGGUUCAUCAGGGAGGUAUGGUUCAGCUGGGAGGUAUGGUUCAGCUGGGAGGUAUGGUUCAGCUGGGAGGUAUGGUUCAGCAGGGAGGUAUGGUUCAGCAGGGAGGUAUGGUUCAGCAGGGAGGUAUGGUUCAGCAGGGAGGUAUGGUUCAGCAGGGAGGUAUGGUUCAGCAGGGAGGUACGGUUCAGCAGGGAGGUAUGGUUCAGCAGGGAGGUAUGGUUCAGCAGGGAGGUAUGGUU